rnacentral:rRNA from 1 species
AAGGAAUAUUGGACAAUGGAGGCAACUCUGAUCCAGCCAUGCCGCGUGAAGGAAUAAGGCCCUAUGGGUUGUAAACUUCUUUUAGACGGGACAAAACCCCUUUACGUGUAAAGGGUUGAUGGUACUGUCAGAAUAAGCAUCGGCUAACUUCGUGCCAGCAGCCGCGGUAAUACGAAGGAUGCAAGCGUUAUCCGGAAUUAUUGGGUUUAAAGGGUGCGUAGGCGGACUAAUAAGUCAGUGGUGAAAGCCUGCAGCUUAACUGCAGAAUUGCCAUUGAUACUGUUAGUCUUGAGUACAGUUGAGGUAGGCGGAAUGUGUCAUGUAGCGGUGAAAUGCUUAGAUAUGACACAGAACACCGAUUGCGAAGGCAGCUUGCUAAGCUGUAACUGACGCUGAGGCACGAAAGCGUGG